rnacentral:rRNA from 1 species
AUUGAACGCUGGCGGCAGGCCUAACACAUGCAAGUCGAACGAGUGGCGGACGGGUGAGUAAUGUCUGGGAAACUGCCUGAUGGAGGGGGAUAACUACUGGAAACGGUGGCUAAUACCGCAUACCAUCAGAUGUGCCCAGAUGGGAUUAGCUAGUAGGUGGGGUAACGGCUCACCUAGGCGACGAUCCCUAGCUGGUCUGAGAGGAUGACCAGCCACACGGGAACUGGGACACGGUCCAGACUCAUACGAGAGGCAGCAGGGGGGAAUAUUGCACCAUGGGCGAAAGCCUGAUGCAGCCAUGCCGCGUGUAUGAAGAAGGCCUUCGGGUUGUAAAGUACUUUCAGCGGGGAGGCGUUACCCGCAGAAGAAGCACCGGCUAACUCCGUGCCAGCAGCCGCGGUUAUUC